rfam:Cajanus cajan CcLG02_469, whole genome shotgun sequence.
AUAUGCCUUACGCAUGCUAGUGAGACAAGGAGCAGUGUUUCCAAUGGCAAAUGAGUGAGUAACAUGUAAGAACCUAUCCUUAGGAGGGGAACAAUAGUUGAAAACAAAUGUUAAUACCUCAUAGAUUAAGGAACAAAAGGAGAAAUCUGCUCCGAAGGGCCAACGUUUAACUAGCUAGUUAGUGAGAUAAUAACUCACCAAGGUAAUAAUUAGUAGUUAAUCCAAGAAGAUGAUCAUCACAUUGGGAUUGAGGCACAACCCAGACUCCUACAAGAGACAAGAAUGAGAUUUUUUUUGUAAUGGAUAAAAGCUUAAUAGAGUAAUAU